GAUGAACGCUAGCGGCAGGCUUAAUACAUGCAAGUCGAGGGGCAGCACGGUUAGCAAUAACUGGUGGCGACCGGCGCACGGGUGCGUAACACGUAUACAAUCUACCUUAAACAGGGGGAUAGCCUUUCGAAAGAGAGAUUAAUACCCCGUAAUAAAUUGAACGGCAUCGUUUGAUUUUGAAAGCUCCGGCGGUUUGAGAUGAGUAUGCGUCUGAUUAGCUAGUUGGUGAGGUAACGGCUCACCAAGGCGACGAUCAGUAGGGGAUCUGAGAGGACUAACCCCCCACACUGGUACUGAGACACGGACCAGACUCCUACGGGAGGCAGCAGUAAGGAAUAUUGGUCAAUGGAGGCAAACUCUGAACCAGCCAUGCCGCGUGCAGGAUGACGGCCCUAUGGGUUGUAAACUGCUUUUAUACAAGAGAAAACCCUGGUACGUGUACCAGGUUGAUAGUAUUGUAAGAAUAAGCAUCGGCUAACUUCGUGCCAGCAGCCGCGGUAAU
rnacentral:rRNA from 1 species